UUCGUUAUAAAUUUUUUUUACAUCUAAUCAAACCUAUCAAGUAGGUCAUAUUCAGUAUAAUCAAUUCAAUCGUUUUCAUUUUUUAUGUUUUAACAUGUCUAUUACCUUUAUUAAAUUUGUUUUUAAGCAUAUUUGUUUUUAUUUUUUAUAUCGAAUUAAUAGAAUGAAUCAGAUUGAAGAUGAAGUUGCUGAAUUACUAAGAAAUGAUGACAAUAUUGAAGCAAG